UGGCGCAUUUCAUUGUCCUGUUCUUCGUGUAAGAACUGAGAUAUUUCUGAUGUGCUAGAUCAACCCUGGAGGUAAAUUAGCAGUUUGGCUCGAUGGUGCCAGUGCUGCCAGUCCCCUUCACACAAAC
ensembl:snoRNA